ACAACAACAACAACAACAACAACGACGACAAAUGAAGCUAACGAGGAAGCGUCAAGACCUGCAGUUCCUCCAACAUCCAGCAGAGGCAGCAGGAUGUGGUCCAGCAGGGUCUCACCAGUUCAGAGCGAAGUCUCUCCACCUCCUGGGUCUGAUCCAACAGCUUCUCCUCCAGCUCCUCCACCUGCAAAUGCCAAAGAACAUCAUUAAAAGGCUCAGCUGCAGAUCGGAUUCGGAUUAGCCUUCAGUCUCUGCUGAAUGUCACGACACGGAUUCGAUCGUCGGGAUCUUUCCGUAACGUGUCGCUGAGCAUGAAGCUGCAGAUCGGACCGGCAGCUUCGUUUUGUUGAUGUAAUAAAUCUGUCAACGUUUCUGACUCACUUUACGUUUGAUGCCAACAUGCAGACGUCAGCCGGACAGCUAAGAAAAGACCUGGAAAUAUUCAGUUACACACCUUCGAGUGUUCAGAGCCUGAACACACAGAAACACACAGCUUUGGAUUUACUGUCCUGAGGAUAAUCUCAUCUCUGAUCGGAAUAAACUCGAACUUAAAGAUCCUUCACCUGAAUAUUCAUGUUGUUACGUUUUGUUCAGUACUGCAGCAGAUUCAGUAACAGCUGUCUGUAAAUCCACUAAAUGCUGCAAACAGGAGCUUCUAAACAAAUAUCGGAGCUCAGCCUGCAGACCGUCGUGUUACUCACCGACUACAAGCUAGCUGAUAUCGUAUGUUUGUGUCCCCCUAAAGCAUUGUGGGAAGUGUCAGGCGGGUUUCCUGCAG